rnacentral:rRNA from 1 species
AGUCGAGCGAACAGACGAGGAGCUUGCUCCUCUGACGUUAGCGGCGGACGGGUGAGUAACACGUGGAUAACCUACCUAUAAGACUGGGAUAACUUCGGGAAACCGGAGCUAAUACCGGAUAAUAUAUUGAACCGCAUGGUUCAAUAGUGAAAGACGGUUUUGCUGUCACUUAUAGAUGGAUCCGCGCCGCAUUAGCUAGUUGGUAAGGUAACGGCUUACCAAGGCAACGAUGCGUAGCCGACCUGAGAGGGUGAUCGGCCACACUGGAACUGAGACACGGUCCAGACUCCUACGGGAGGCAGCAGUAGGGAAUCUUCCGCAAUGGGCGAAAGCCUGACGGAGCAACGCCGCGUGAGUGAUGAAGGUCUUCGGAUCGUAAAACUCUGUUAUUAGGGAAGAACAAAUGUGUAAGUAACUAUGCACGUCUUGACGGUACCUAAUCAGAAAGCCACGGCUAACUACGUGCCAGCAGCCGCGGUAAUACGUAGGUGGCAAGCGUUAUCCGGAAUUAUUGGGCGUAAAGCGCGCGUAGGCGGUUUUUUAAGUCUGAUGUGAAAGCCCACGGCUCAACCGUGGAGGGUCAUUGGAAACUGGAAAACUUGAGUGCAGAAGAGGAAAGUGGAAUUCCAUGUGUAGCGGUGAAAUGCGCAGAGAUAUGGAGGAACACCAGUGGCGAAGGCGACUUUCUGGUCUGUAA